CUUCUUUCUUACUUGCUGGUUUUCUGUGCACUCAGAUGUCUUUCUGUUGUCUGUUUCCUAGAGGGAAGUUUUAAUAUGCAGCUCUUUAUCUACCAUGGGAAUGGUAUGGUCUGGGAAGGAAGGAGCAAUCCCUGCACAAUCCUGAUUGUCACAUGUACAGAGGGGCUGUUGUAAAUUGUUGUAAAAUCUCAAAUGAAAGCCAGGAGCAAAUAGGAAAUACAACCCUUGGACGUCUUUGCAUUUACGUGAGUGUUAGGGAGAUCUCUAAAGGGAUUCAUAACACCAUGUUUGUCCUGGCUCCCAAUGAAACACAUUGUUUCAAAGUUUUGCAGUCUGAGUAACAUUGGCAUUUCAGAAAUGAGGCAGGUUUUAAAGCGUCAGCAAAACUGUCCCUGGGCCAUUUAUUAGAGAUGACUUAACCAUCCAAAAUGUUGGAGAGAAAGUUGUGUGCAGCAAUUAGAGAUUAGAUUGACAUGAAUGAAGGGUACUCUCAGAACUGCUUCCGAUAUUUACAAUUUUAUCACAAUCAAUAUGUCAUAUGCACAAACACCAUGUAGGAAAGGCUGAAGGCAUGCCCAUUUUACAGAGAAGCUAUAAAGAAGUGUCGCAGAAAAACUCUGGAGGUCACUGAAGACUCUUGUAGUAGCCUUUCUAACAGAAUGAUUUCAACAAAGACUCGUGUCUUUGAAGAGUAAUAUCAAAUGUGUUACCCAUCUGAGCAAGAAGCAGAUGUCCUCAAAUGGAAGCAAGAAAGACCACUUGUGUGAAACAGAGGCAGAUGAAAUGAAGAUGCAAAAGACAAGAUAUGAGUCAACUCUGAGAUUGUGGCCAGACUGCAGGCUAUCUAUCUAUGCAGCCUUGGAACACCUUAGUGCAACCUGCCCUCCUUCUGUCCUAUUUAGACUGAAAACCAAUGCAAAGGAAUGACUUGUAGGUUUACCGAAAAGGACUGAAGUGAUUACUGGUUCUGCUGAGGCAUGUUUGAGAAAUUUAUUCUGUCUAAUGUGGCAGGGAGAGUUCGUCUUUCCAAACCACUUGGGAGUCGAUCUGCACUGGAUACACACAUUAGAGGACUUUGAAAGAUCUGUGAAGUA
rnacentral:lncRNA from 1 species